UACGUAGGGUGCGAGCGUUGUCCGGAAUUACUGGGCGUAAAGAGCUCGUAGGCGGUUUGUCGCGUCGGCCGUGAAAUCUCCACGCUUAACGUGGAGCGUGCGGUCGAUACGGGCAGACUUGAGUUCGGCAGGGGAGACUGGAAUUCCUGGUGUAGCGGUGAAAUGACGCAGAUAUCAGGAGGAACACCGGUGGCGAAGGCGGGUCUCUGGGCCGAUACUGACGCUGAGGAGCGAAAGCGUGGGGAGCGAACAGG
rnacentral:rRNA from 1 species